GACUUGGAUCUGAUCCUUGGCCUGGGAGCUCCAUUUGCUGCAGGGCAGCCAAAACAUAAAAUAAAAUUUUUAAAAAUGCAGUUUCAAAAUAGAAACUAUAAGGACGGAGUUCCUAUUGUGGCUCUGCAGUAAUGAACUGGACUAGUAACCAUAAGGAUGCAGGUUCUGUCCCUGGCCUGGCUCAGUGGUUUAAGAUCCGAGCAGCAUCUGUGACCUACACCAAAGCUCAUGGCAACACUGGAUCCUUAACCCACUGAUUGAGGCCAGGGAUCGAACCUGCCACCUCAUGGUUCCUAGUUGGAUUCGUUAACCAUUGAGCCACGACGGGAACUCCUCCAAUGGUAGUUUUAGCAUUUGGGUUUCAAGGUCUUCCUUUUUUGUUUCCUCAGCUUAGUUUGGAUCCUCUUUUUAUGCUCCUAUAGCAUUAUAAUGAAAUGCCCUUUUGUAAAUUCACUCCAUUAUUCAUUCAACAAAUAUUUUUGAGUGCCUAUGUCCCAACUCCUGCCCUAGGCCCUAGGGAUGCAGUAGUGAAUAAAACAGACACACUCUUAAGUCUUACGAGGCUGUGUUCUUGUGAGAUGGGGGUGGGUGGCAGACAAGACCUGAACAGGUGAGCAGGUAGUGCUUCCUCGGAGGAACCGUGAAGAAACAUAAAGGACUCGAGGCAAUAAUGUUCUGAAAGCACUGCAGACACAGCAAUGAGUCCCGUGUGGCUGAGGCGGAGUGAGCCAGGGAAAGGGUAGAAAGAGAGAUGAAGAGAGACGGGUGGGGGGCCCCAGUGAGGUCUUUUUAGUCGUUACCCCUCCCUCUGGGAUGGCCAGGGCCCAGGUGGGAGGUGCCCCGGCGGGUCCCUGGAGGACCACGUCUGGAAGGUGCAGCCCCGAAAGCAGCCGCCAGGUGGCGCCAGGCCGCCCCGGGGAUUCCUGGGGACGCCAGGCCUUGCCUUCCGCACCCUUCCUCCAACCUCGGAGGCGUUUCGGUCCAGGGAUCCCAGCCCCGGGGUCCGGGCCCUGGCCUCGUGGUGAGCAUCCAUGCGAGGGGCAGUUCGGUUGUCACAGCCUGGGGGCUGGGUCCAGUGCAGCCACCGUGGGCGGUCGGGGAAGCCAAGGCCUGGAGCAGCAGGAGCAACAGGUCGUCAUGCAAAAACUCUGGGGAAUCCACGGCCGGACACCAAGGGCCGCCCCGCUGCCUCCGGGAAGACCGCGACGUGAACGUUUGGGGGAGCCGAACCCGGCCCUCGAGGUAGGUGGGUCCUGCGCCCCUGGCCUGGCUAAGGCAGCGAGGCGCGCUGUUUGCAGGACUUUGGCUUUAGCUGCAAGACGCUGAAGCCACAGGUGGGCUGCUUAGUUUGAACGGGCUCCCUCUGCUUUAUUGACGGGGAGGGUACAUGGUGGGCAGGGAGGUUAGUUAGAAAGUGAUUGAAAGAACCCAGGUCAGGUUCUUGGGGUCUGGGUAGUAACAGGAAAGGUCGUGCUCGAUAGUCAAAUUCUGGACACGCUUGGAAGACUUAGCAGCAAGAUUUGAUGAAGGGUUGAGAAUAAGGUGUGGGAGAAACGAAGCAGCGGAUAAUGCCUCAGGUGUUUGCCCUGAGAAUCUGAAAAGAUGAAGUUUCACCUGAGAGUGGAAAGACCUCGGAAGCGCCUCGUGGGGAGGGGUUUUUGUCCAGGAGAAGUACGGUUUGGGACAUGCUGAGAUAUCUGGGAGACACUGGAAUGAAGAGUUGGAGCUGGCAGCUGUCUGUAAAAGUCUGGAGCUCAAGGGACAAGUCCAGGAUGGAGACAUAAAUCUGUGGAUUGUCAACACAGGGAUGGUAUUUAAAGCCGUCUGGAGGACGGAACCACUGAUGUUUGAUGACUCAGCUCUGGGCAAUUACAACACUUCGAAGGGGAGAAGGGGAGGAGAACCAAAGGACAGUGGUGAUCAAGCCAAUGAAAGGAAGCCGGGGGAGAGGACUGGGGCUCACAGGGCGAGCAUCCGGCGUUGGUGCUCUUGUGGCCCUGUGGCCUGCUGUGAUAAGCAGUGCGAAGGCCAUUGCUGGCCCUGACCCUCAUUUUGAAAUAGCAGAUAAAGGUUUUCUUGUGUGGGCUCAAGAGAGGAUGAGAACCGAUAUUUUAAGGACAGUAAGACAGCGUGAACACCUUUUUGGAAGACGUUUGCUUUCCAAGGGAGCAGAGAAUUAGUACAGUAGCUGGAGGGAGUUCUCAUACUCAGCACCGUUUGGAACUCCUGUGUCUGUAAGAAUGGUAAGAACUAGACUGUGGCAGCAGCUGUGCCAAUCCUGACUGCCUUUUGCCUGGUACCACUGCUUGACCCAAAGCAGAUGCACAACGAAAUAUUUCUUGACCAAUAAGUACCAUUUCAAUUAAAUUAUACCCUGCAAUUUUGUAAUGUUUAGGAAUAUUUUCAAAAGAUGUUACUUUUUUUUAUAAUUGAGCAAGAAUAUGUAUUUUGACGCUGGUGAAAGAAGAUGACAGAUAAGAUCAUUCCACAGUGACUCACCAGAUUCCCAUUAGGUUCAGUUACGCUCAGUACCACUUGAUGCUAAUACCUUUAUUUCAGGAGAAUCACGCAGUAAUGACAAAUGAAUUUGCUAAAAAUAUUCAGUGCAGGUAGCUUUAAUUGUCUACAGCAGUUUUUCACAUUGUGGAGAGAGAGGAAAGUAAAUAUGUUUUUCUUCAGCAAAGUAGAUUUUGCUUUAGGGUUGGAGAGCAUCAGGAAACCGUCGUCUUUAAAGAGAUGUUCGUAGUACCAGGAUGGUGUGCACAAGGCAGAUUCAUUGCUAAAUGAUGGUAUGCAUAUAUUUGAUGAAACAGAUUUAUUUGGUCUGAGAAUGAGCAGUUGCAGUACACUAGACACUAGGCUGGACAUCUGGUGAACUGCAGAGAUGAACGGAGUCAUGAAAGAUAAGAUUAAACAUACAGAUUGUAGACAGAUAGAGGCGCUUCGCUUUGUUUGAUGGGUAAUGGAGAGGAUUUAUAAAUUUUCAGCAGGGAAGAAAAAUCAUCUGAACUGUAUGCUUAUUAGCUGCCAUGAAAAUUGGCUGUAGGAUUGAGGGUAUGGGGAAGACGAGAGGCUCUGGGAGACACUUAUUUUUUCAAGGGUCCACCUUGAAAAAGCCUCCAUGGUCAAUGGAUUAGCACAUCCUUGGGUUCCCCAAAUUUCGGGUUAAACAAACUUGAAGAUAUUUCUUCACCCUUUGUGAAUCUCCAAGCGUGUGGAAUAUGCAGGUCAUGGAACUCAUUAUUUCAGGAACCCUCCUAGUCUCUGGGAGAGUUUGACACUUGGGGACUGUGUUCUUGGUGUAAUCUGGACGACCCGGCCUGAAUCUGAGGAGGAGUUACGGGAAUGGAAAGGAAGGAGGAGAUAAUAGUGGACGUGCCUUAUUGACAAACAGACGGCGAGAACGGGGAGAGGAAAAAGUCAAAGUGGGAACAUGUGGGUUCACAAACUUGAUGAGAUGAGCUUAACAUUUAAAGAACUUUAAGAUGCUGGGGGGCAGAGGGGAGGAGUUCCCAUCAUGGCUCAGUGGUUAAUGAACCCGACUAAGAUCCAUGAGGAUGAGGGUUUGAUCCCUGGCCUCACUCAGUGGGUUAAGGACCCAGCGUUGCCCUGAGCUGUGGUGUAGGUCGCAGAUGCGGCUCAGAUCCUGCGUUGCUGUGGCUGUGGUGUAGGCCGGCAUCUAUAGCUCUGAUUAGACCCCUAGCCUGGGAACUUCCGUAUGCUGCAAGUUCGGCCCUAAAGAAAAAAAAAAAAAAAAAAAAAAAAAAAAAAGACUGGGGAACAACGAAGUGUAAAUUCGGGCUUUCACCUGGAAAGCAUUCAAGGCUGGACACAAAUUUCAGAAGCAUAGACAUUAUAGGUAGUGUAGGAGAAUAAUCUCGAAAUGAUUAGAGCCUGAAUUACAGAUUUUGAGGUAGCAAUAGCUGCAAAUUCCACCCCU
ensembl:lncRNA